UCUCCUCUUCUUCGCAUCGUCUCUCUCUCUCUCACACACACACAAAUUAAAUUGCGAGCAAAAAAGAAAGAUUGCGGCCAUGCUCUCCACAGGCUUUCUUGAACUGUGAACUCGUGUGUGCAUGCUCCUCAUAUAUUGUUCUAGAUCCCAUGCAUGAUGCAUAUCGAUCGAUCUGAUCUGAAUUAGGUCAUCGAUGCGCAUCUGGAUCCCCAUCUUGUUGAUAGUUCAAGAAAGUCCUUGGAAAACAUGGUGCCCUCGAUCUUAAUUAUAUCUUACUUAUAUAUCUACCUAGCUAUAUCUCCUGCCUGCUCUAAUUCUUGGAUCGAUCGCGAUGGAGAUUAAUUGAUCUGUACAUCGAUCCAUGCAUAUCAGAUACUGCUCACCCGGCCGCCAUCUGCGUGCAAUUCGAUCUAGCAGCUGGGAAAUGAAAGCUAAGAAAGAUAGCGUGCACGAGCGUGCAGAAUGGCAGCAUAUGUAUGCAUUAUUCAGUACUGCUAGAUGAACAGAAUCUAGAAAAAGAUGAACUGAACAGCAGCAGCAGCAGCAGAUCGAAGGAUGGAUGGAUGGACGGAUGGAGCAAGCUAAGCUAAGCUUUCGUUUUGUCGAUCCAUCCGUCCAUCGGUGUCGACCUAGCUAGAAAGGCUGACCUGUCGCGUCGUCCAUCCAAGAUCGAUCCAACCAGCAACCAGGCAUCAGACAGGCUCUUUCUUGUCCAGCUGCUGCUGCUGCUAGUACACAUACUACACUGUCUCUGCUGCAUGCAUGCAUGCUGCUCACCUCAUCUGAUUGAGAGUUCAGAAUUGUUGAGAGCAAGCAAGAAAUUGAGAAACGGCCAGGACAGAUUGGAUUGAUCUUAAUUGGCAUAUAUGCUGCUCGAUCGAUACUGUCUGUCAGUUCUCAGUUCGUCGAUCGAUCAAGUCUAUAUUUGGAUAUCUGAAUCUCUGCAAAUGCCAACUCGACCACUAAGCAAUUCAUCAAUGGACAUGAUCAUAGUAAUGUCGAUCGACGUGCAGUGUCACUCAUUGUUGGGAGCACGGUCAAAACCUCCAGUUCAUAUCAUAUCAUAUGAAAUCGAUCUCAAGCUCAAGCAGUUUCGAUAGAUGCAAAAUUGAAGAUGGAAGUAUAAAUAACUGCUACUGUAUAUACAUAUGGAGGGCAGGAAGGCAGGCAGGAGAUUGAUGAAGUGACGCGAGCCUGCCUUGAAUUGUGCUAGUUUCUCUUUCUCUCUGCGCGUGUGCUUGCUGCCCCUAGCUAGCUAGCGAAGCGUGUGCUUUCACUGUGCAUUGCAUAUGAUAGGAGGUAGUACUCCACUACUCCAUGGUGAACUGGUGGUUGCAUUGCUAACCACAGCCAUAGAGCUACUGAGCUAGCUGCGAAUAAUUUCAUUCAUGUUUGCCGAUCGAUCGAGCUGCAGCAAUGAUCUUUCCCUGCAGCAAUGAUCACGUUGCAUGCUUACUUGUUUCUCUUCUUUUAACUUUUUUCCCCUCUCCUUUCUUUCAUCCAUAGUUUUUACGUUAAUAUGCAGAUGCAGGCAGCACACCUUCUUCUUGCUCCACCGGCUACCAGCACCUAAGUAAUUAGUGUGUUCAUGCGCCUCUGAUUAUAUAUGUACAUAUAUAUAUACUCCAAUAUAUGUGGUAGCAUGGAUAUAUAUACAAUUCAUGUCUUUUGUAUGUACUAAUUAAUGUGUAUUGUCAUGUGCAAUAAUGGAAAAUGAUGAUGUAAAAGUUGAGACGACUGAACUAUAAAUAAAAAUAUAUAUGAAAGAUGGCAUUAUUACA